GCAACCCCUGGUACGUUUAUUGCGUCACAACGUUUCGGGGGCGUGGCCCCUUCGUCAGGUGAUACAGAAUACACCGAGCACAGCCAUUAAAUAGCCAAAAACACCUCCCCCAUAGAUUAGGUAAUACAGAAAAUCACAAAAAAAUAUAUAAAGCAAAAAUCCAGAAAGUGUCCAAUAUAAUGUCCAAAAAUUGUUGCCAAAUAGUUGCAGUCCCAGAAGUGGAAAAAAUAGUAACAUCGAUUAUACAAAGUAAAUAAAUAACAAAAUUUUGUUACAACAGAAUAUAAGCGUAACCAAUUGCUUUCCCUACAAAUGGAAAAAAGGUAAGUUUUUUUACCUCACCCUGGAUACGUGUUUCAUUUCAUUGAGCUUAAUAUCUGCAAGAGGAAAGAAAAUUUUUUUAGUAAAGAAAAAAAUUAAAGAAAAAAAUAUUCAAUUUAUAAAAAGCACGAUAAACUGAAUUCUUCAUUUAGUCCCCUGGGGGCCUGUGUUUGUAAAGUCCAUAUCCAGAAGCUUUCUCGUUGUAAAAGUUUUUGCUUAAAAUCCAUUCCCUGUUUCUCAUAUACUUUCUCUAAUAUUUGCCAACGUAUUUGUGAAGUCCUAUGGUUAUUUUCAAAGAAAUGUUUAGCCAAGGUUGUUUCCUGUUUCUUCUUACUAACUGUAUCCUCUGUCCCUGGUUGAUAGUUUCUUAUUACAGACUUAUGUUCGUUUAGACGGAUUUUAAUUGUUCUUUUGGUUUGACCCACAUAUGCCAUGCCACAUGGGCAUUUAAUGCAAUAAACGACUCCCUUUGAAUUGCAGGUAUGGACACCCCUGGUUUUAUGCGGUAUACCCUUUAAUGGGUGCAUAACAUUUUCCCCUUUUAUGAUGCCAGUACAGUGGCCACAAUUAUGGCAUGGGAAAAGAUUGGCGGAGAGGAAAAGAGAUUGGCUACUUUUGGAUCCCUCUCCAGGAUACUCCAAUACUUAAGUAUUGUCUGUUUGAUGAAUUUUGAAUUAAUGUCAUAUGUUGACACAAAAGGAAACAGGGAAUGGAUUUUAAGCAAAAACUUUUACAACGAGAAAGCUUCUGGAUAUGGACUUUACAAACACAGGCCCCCAGGGGACUAAAUGAAGAAUUCAGUUUAUCGUGCUUUUUAUAAAUUGAAUAUUUUUUUCUUUAAU